CCCGCCUACGGGAGGCAGCAGUAGGGAAUAUUGGGCAAUGGUCGGAAGACUGACCCAGCCAUGUAGCGUGCAGGAAGAAGGCGUUACGCGUUGUAAACUGCUUUUAUACGGGAAGAAAAAGCAACUGCGGUUGAAAUUGCCGGUACCGUAUGAAUAAGCACCGGCUAACUCCGUGCCAGCAGCCGCGGUAAUACGGAGGGUGCGAGCGUUGUCCGGAUUUAUUGGGUUUAAAGGGUGCGCAGGCGGCCUGAUAAGUCAGCGGUGAAAUACUCCGGCUCAACCGGAGGGGUGCCGUUGAUACUGUUUGGCUUGAGUGCGGUCUACGUACAUGGAAUUUAUGGUGUAGCGGUGAAAUGCAUAGAUACCAUAAGGAACACCGAUAGCGAAGGCAUUGUACGGGGCCGUAACUGACGCUGAGGCACGAAAGCGUGGGUAGCGAACAGGAUUAGAUACCCUGGUAGUCCACGCCGUAAACGAU
rnacentral:rRNA from 1 species